rnacentral:sRNA from 1 species
CAGCCGCUUAUUUGGGUCUCAAAAAAGGUGUGCAUGUCCCUUCCAGAGGGCUUUUUUUUUUUUUUUUUUUUUUUUUUGGCAACACCACAGUUAUGGCAAGUAGUGCAUCAUAACUUCCAAUCGACACAAUGGUUUUUAUUCAUACAGCCAUUCCAGGAUAUGAAAUCCCAAGUGCGAGGCCAUUCAUUACCAGUUGGCGAAAGUAAGAUCUGUCAAAAUGCUCCAUCGGCGACCAUGUGGAUGGGAUAUUCGGUGUGCGCCCCGACGAGAAUAUCCCAGGAUCUCUCGACAAAGGGGGCCCUUCUCUUGCAAUAUAGCGGGUAAGGCUAUGUAUGAUCUUACACGAAGAUAUAUUUGAAAUCUUUCUGCUCUAGGUUCAUGAAAGUUUUAUAGCCUCCUGUUGCCGCAGAACGGGGUUCUUGUCCUUCCAGAGGCCUCAGAUCUAAUGGCAAAGGCUUCAGGCAAUUUAAACUCUGCUCUACCGUUGCAGAUGACUAGAUCUGAUGCCUCGCGUCUUCUCUCUGUUGCCUCAACGCACUCCUCCAGGCUCUUGGAUUACACUUGGUGGAAGAACAGAAUUUCAUUUUCGUGACCCCAUCGGGCCAAAUAUCACUCUCCA